rnacentral:rRNA from 1 species
GAUGAACGCUGGCGGCGUGCUUAACACAUGCAAGUCGAACGGAAAGGCCCAAGCUUGCUUGGGUACUCGAGUGGCGAACGGGUGUGUAACACGUGGGUGAUCUGCCCUUCACUUCGGGAUAAGCCUUGGAAACUGGGUCUAAUACCGGAUAGGACCACUUCUUGGAUGUUGUGGUGGAAAGUUUUUUCGGUGUGGGAUGAGCUCGCGGCCUAUCCGCUUGUUGGUGGGGUAAUGGCCUACCAAGGCGUCGACGGGUAGCCGGACUGGGAGGGUGUACGGCCACAUUGGGACUGAGAGACGGCCCAGACUCCUACGGGAGGGAGCAGGGGGGAAGAUUGCACAAGGGGCGCAGGCCUGAUGCAGAGAGGCCGCGUGGGGGAUGACGGCCUUCGGGUUGAAAACUACAUUCGCUAGGGACGAAGCGUGUUGUGACGGUACCUGGAGAAGAAGCACCGGCUAACUACGUG